GCCUAGCCUUAACACAACAAUAAAACUACCAAUUGUCCGCCAAAUAACUACGAGUAAUAACUUAAAAUUUAAAAGACUUGACGGUGCCCCACAACAACCUAGAGGAGCCUGUCUAAUAAAUGAUACUCCACAAUUAACCCUACCUACCAUAGCCAACAGUCUAUAUACCGCCGUCGCCAGCCCACCGCAUGAUAGAAUAAAAGUGAGCCAAACAGCUCCCACAUAAUACGACAGGUCAAGGUGUAACUAAUGGGUGGGACCAAGAUGGGCUACAUUUUCUUAACCAGAACAUACGAAUUCAACUUUGAAAAAAGAACUGAAGGCGGAUUUAGCAGUAUAUUAAGAACAAAAAUACUUAAUUGAAACCAAUGCAAUGGGGUGCGCACACACCGCCCGUCAUCCCUGCAUCCAAAAUCUAUUCAUAAUAACAUAUUAAAAUAAACCAGGGCAAGUCGUAACAUGGUAAGUGUACUGGAAAGUGCACUUAGAAAC
rnacentral:rRNA from 1 species